AGGCUGCCUUCCUGUGCCAGAAGAUGGGGGAGCAGGGAAGACGACCCCGACUCUCUAAAAUCAUCCACAAAAACCUUCCAGAGCAUUUAUGCAACAUAGGACAAUUUGUUCAUCAAGGAAUAGGUAAAAAGAGCUCUGAACUCCAAGCUCCACAACAGUUGAGUUUGCCCCUCAUCCUGGAGGACACAAAAGAAGAAAGUCACUAGAAUCAGAGGCCAGAUCUCUUCUCCAGCCCCUCCCUGUAUCUACAUGGAAAAUGCUCACUGUGGCAUCCGAGAAAAGCCAGUCUGCUGACCAGCCACGCCUGGGGGAUGGGGAAAAACAAGAGUUUGAAGAAAUGGAAAUGAAAAUAAAUAAAUGUAACUUUCAACAGGAAA